rnacentral:antisense_RNA from 1 species
CGGUUAACGGAAAAAAAUCGACAUCUUUUGCUUUUUUACUAGCUACUGAUGCUGAUAAAACAGCUGUAUCGCCGUAACGAAUCAAUGCUGCCCCGCUUGCUUGUUUAGCUAAUUGACCGACUUCGACAGUUAAUGUCCGGCCAGCCCACUCUUUAGUAAAUACUUGUUUCUUUGUCAUAUAUUGUUGUUCUCCUUUUUCUAUCAAACUACGCUCAUUUUUCCACACAGACUACUAAACAAAUGUCAGCCUUUAAAGAAUUAAACACUCACAUUUGUAUAGUAGGAUGGUUGAUGAUGCGCAUUCGUUUGGCAUUUUUAUACAAAAAAUGAAGCGAGAUUCCUUCGAACCUCGCUUCUUA